CUGAUGAGAGUGGCGCACGGGUGAGUAACGCGUAUGCAACCUGCCUAUAACUGGAGAAUAGCCCCCGGAAACGGGGAUUAAUGUUCCAUAAUGUUCAGAGAUCGCAUGGUUUUUGGACUAAAGCUCCGGCGGUUAUAGAUGGGCAUGCGUGCCAUUAGCUAGUUGGUGAGGUAACGGCUCACCAAGGCUACGAUGGUUAGGGGGUCUUAAAGGAUGAUCCCCCACACUGGUACUGAGACACGGACCAGACUCCUACGGGAGGCAGCAGUGAGGAAUAUUGGUCAAUGGGCGCAAGCCUGAACCAGCCAAGCCGCGUGAAGGAUGACGGCCCUAUGGGUUGUAAACUUCUUUUGUAUGGGAAGAACUCCCCGACGUGUCGGGGGCUGGCUGUACUAUACGAAUAAGCAUCGGCUAACUCCGUGCCAGCAGCCGCGGUAAUACGGAGGAUGCAAGCGUUAUCCGGAUUCAUUAGGUAUAAAGGGUGCGUAGGCGGAUUAAUAAGUCAGUGGUGAAAUACUACAGCUCAACUGUAGAACUGCCAUUGAUACUGUUAGUCUUGAGUACAAUUGAGGUAGGCGGAAUGUGUGGUGUAGCGGUGAAAUGCUUAGAUAUCACACAGAACACCGAUUGCGAAGGCAGCUUACUAAACUGUAACUGACGCUGAUGCACGAAAGCAUGGGGAGCAAACAGGAUUAGAUACCCUGGUAGUCUAUGCUGUAAACGAUGAUCACUCGCUGUAUGUCCAU
rnacentral:rRNA from 1 species